rnacentral:rRNA from 1 species
CCUACGGGAGGCAGCAGUGGGGAAUUUUGGACAAUGGGCGCAAGCCUGAUCCAGCAAUGCCGCGUGCAGGAUGAAGGCCUUCGGGUUGUAAACUGCUUUUGUACGGAACGAAAAGGCUCUGGCUAAUACCUGGGGCUGAUGACGGUACCGUAAGAAUAAGCACCGGCUAACUACGUGCCAGCAGCCGCGGUAAUACGUAGGGUGCGAGCGUUAAUCGGAAUUACUGGGCGUAAGGCGUGCGCAGGCGGUUUUGUAAGACAGGGGUAAAAUCCCCGGGCUUAACCGGGAAACUGCCCUUGAGACUGAAAGGCUGGAGGACGGAAGAGGGGGAUGAAAUUCCGGGUGUAGCGGUGAAAUGCGUAGAUAUGCGGAGGAACACCGAUGGCGAAGGCGGUCCCCUGGGCCUGUACUGACGCUCAGGCACGAAAGCGUGGGGAGCAAACAGGAUUAGAUACCCUAGUAGU